rnacentral:rRNA from 1 species
UACGUAGGGAGCAAGCGUUGUCCGGAAUCAUUGGGCGUAAAGCGCGCGUAGGCGGCCCCGUAAGUCCGCUGUGAAAGUCAAAGGCUCAACCUUUGAAAGCCGGUGGAUACUGUGGGGCUAGAGUCCGGAAGAGGCGAGUGGAAUUCCUGGUGUAGCGGUGGAAUGCGCAGAUAUCGGGAGGAACACCAAUAGCGAAGGCAGCUCGCUGGGACGGUACUGACGCUAAGGCGCGAAAGCGUGGGGAGCGAACAGG